AUUGAACGCUGGCGGCAUGCCUUACACAUGCAAGUCGAACGGUAACAGGUCUUCGGAUGCUGACGAGUGGCGGACGGGUGAGUAAUACAUCGGAACGUGCCCGAUCGUGGGGGAUAACGAAGCGAAAGCUUUGCUAAUACCGCAUACGAUCUACGGAUGAAAGCGGGGGAUCUUCGGACCUCGCGCGGACGGAGCGGCCGAUGGCAGAUUAGGUAGUUGGUGGGAUAAAAGCUUACCAAGCCGACGAUCUGUAGCUGGUCUGAGAGGAUGAUCAGCCACACUGGGACUGAGACACGGCCCAGACUCCUACGGGAGGCAGCAGUGGGGAAUUUUGGACAAUGGGCGCAAGCCUGAUCCAGCCAUGCCGCGUGCAGGAUGAAGGCCUUCGGGUUGUAAACUGCUUUUGUACGGAACGAAAAGGUGCCUUCUAAUAAAGGGCGCUCAUGACGGUACCGUAAGAAUAAGCACCGGCUAACUACGUG
rnacentral:rRNA from 1 species